CUACAGUCAGAGGUUUUUAUACGGCGGCUCAAUGAGUUUGUAUCACUGUGGUUCACGUUCGGUGGAGGAACCAGACUGGAUGUUGGAAGUGAUACCCGCCCCGCACUGAAGGUGCUGGGUCCCUCCAGUGCAGAGCUGGAGAAUGGGAAGGCCACGCUCAUGUGUGUGGCCAACAAGGGCUUCCCCUCAGACUGGAGUCUGUCCUGGAAGACGAGCGACAGCAGUGGCAGCAGCAGCAUCAGAGGGGAGGAGAGCAGGACUCCUGGAGUGCUGCAGAAUGACGGCCUCUACAGCUGGAGCAGCACCCUGACGCUCACUGCAGACCAGUGGGGGAAGGUGGGCUCUGUGACCUGUGAGGCCACCCAGGGCUCCCAGACUCUGGUCUCAGAGAUACUGAGGAGAGACCAGUGUUCCCAGUCCUGAUGUCAAUCACUGAGUGUUUCAUGCUGUUUUUCUUCUGUCUCUGUUUCUUUUUGUUUGCAGAUUUUUAAAAAAGCAUCAAACAGUCAUAUUUUCAUCUCAUAAUGACAACAAUCAUAGCAACAAUCUCCUCUAGUUUCAUCCUUUUGUGUCUGUUGUAAAGCUGAUAUUUCAACCUUUUAAAAGAAUAAAAAUGUAACGAGGAAACAUG